UGUGCAAUAAACGAAAGUAUGACACAGAGAGGACACAUUUAAUUGAGCCCGUCAAAUUAAGUGCCAGCCGACGCGGUUAAACUUAAGGGCUGGUCUUUAUAAGUAAAAAGGCGUAAAGGAUGUGUAGGCCAAGAAACGACCCAAGAAGGUAAAUGGAAUUUUUCUGGAGCGGUAGAAUGUGAGGAUAGAAAAUAGAACCCCUAAGGUUAAAACUAUUUACCACAAGGUAGGCUGAAACAUGAGUGUGUGGGGAGCAAACAGGAUUAGAGACCCUGGUAGUCCACACUGUGAACUUUGAAGAUGAUGCUUAGCAGACCCGAAAGGUAAAAUCUUCCGCCUGAGUAGUACGAUCGCAAGAUUAAAAUUCAAAAACUUUGGCUGUUCACUAUUUCGAUUAGAGGAGCGUGUAGUUUAAUUCGAUGGUCCGCGUGUUACCUUACCCCAACUUGAAUCUGUGACCGGUAUUGCAUGGCCGUCGUAAGUUCGUGUAUUAAGCUAGAAGGGACCCAACCCGGGCAUUUGCCCGGAGGAAGUCAGGUCUUAUGAUCCGAAUGUUGGGGGAUUUUAUGCGCUACAUUUUCUUAUAUAAUGGGAGACCUGGAAGGUGAGCCUCUAAAGUAAGAGUUCGGAAGGUCGCUGUAAGACGACUGGAAGUUGGAUUUAAUAGUAAUCGGAAAGUAGGGCGUUCCGGUGAAUUGGUACAAGUGUUAGCACAAAUUGCCCGUCGCCUUUACCUAGAAUGGUUAUUCGGACGCC
rnacentral:rRNA from 1 species